GACGAACGCUGGCGGCGUGCCUAAUACAUGCAAGUAGAACGAGUUGCGAACGGGUGAGUAACGCGUGGUAACCUGCCUCAUAGCGGGGGAUAACUAUUGGAAACAGGUGCUAAUACCGCAUAUUGAUGGAUGGACCCGCGGUGCAUUAGCUAGUUGGCGAGGUAACGGCUCACCAAGGCCACGAUGCAUAGCCGGCCUGAGAGGGUGAUCGGCAACACUGGAACUGAGACACGGUCCAGACUCCUACGGGAGGCAGCAGUGGGGAAUAUUGCACAAUGGGCGCAAGCCUGAUGCAGCCAUGCCGCGUGUAUGAAGAAGGCCUUCGGGUUGUAAAGUACUUUCAGCGGGGAGGCGUUACCCGCAGAAGAAGCACCGGCUAACUCCGUGCCAGCCGCCGCGGUAAUAC
rnacentral:rRNA from 1 species